rnacentral:rRNA from 1 species
GACGAACGCUGGCGGCGUGCCUAAUACAUGCAAGUCGAACGAGAGCGACCGGUGCUUGCACUGGUCAAUCUAGUGGCGAACGGGUGAGUAACACGUGGGUAACCUGCCCAUCAGAGGGGGAUAACAUCCGGAAACGGAUGCUAAGACCGCAUAGGUCUUCGAGCCGCAUGGCUUGAAGAGGAAAAGAGGCGCAAGCUUCUGCUGAUGGAUGGACCCGCGGUGCAUUAGCUAGUUGGUGAGGUAACGGCUCACCAAGGCCGUGAUGCAUAGCCGACCUGAGAGGGUGAUCGGCCACAUUGGGACUGAGACACGGCCCAAACUCCUACGGGAGGCAGCAGUAGGGAAUCUUCCGCAAUGGACGCAAGUCUGACGGAGCAACGCCGCGUGAGUGAAGAAGGUUUUCGGAUCGUAAAACUCUGUUGUUAGAGAAGAACAAGUGCUAGAGUAACUGUUAGCGCCUUGACGGUAUCUAACCAGAAAGCCACGGCUAACUACGUG